rnacentral:rRNA from 1 species
UACGGAGGGUGCAAGCGUUAAUCGGAAUUACUGGGUGUAAAGCGCGCGUAGGCGGCUUUGUAAGUCGGAUGUGAAAGCCCUGGGCUUAACCUGGGAAUUGCAUUCGAUACUGCUUAGCUAGAGUAUGGUAGAGGGAAGUGGAAUUUCCGGUGUAGCGGUGAAAUGCGUAGAUAUCGGAAGGAACACCGGUGGCGAAAGCGGCGCGCUGGACCCCUUCUGACGCUGAGGCGCGAAAGCCAGGGGAGCAAACGGG